UCACACAGUAGCAAACUCCUCAGCUUUCAGUGACAACUCACUUAUUUCAGAUGAAAAUAGGUCACCAGUGAGAUUUGCUCAGAUCCAGUGAGAAGUGUUUUUAGGGGGGGGUCUUACAAGAGUAAUAAAGAACUCUGGGGCCGGGUGCAUAAACGGUUUAGACUAGUCUUAAAAAGUUAGUCAUCUCAUUAAGAUCUGGGUAACUGCUAGUUGAUCAAACUAGUUCUUGACACACAGUCUUAACACGGUGGCUAAGUUUAUGCAUCUGGCCCCUGGUUGUUUCAGUAAGUUCUGUAUAGUGUUUUCUCUACUCUUUACUAAACUAUGUCUAAAAAGAGUAAUAUUUGAUGUGUUUGAGGUCAGAGAUGUGUGAACGCUGAAGAGAGAGAGAGAGGACACACAUUUAGCGCUUUAGCUCAGCAUUUCCGUCUAAUCCGCCGAUACUGUCUUUAAUAGCCUGCAGCAUAGCACUUCAUCUUUUAUAACAUGAUUCUCACCAAAUAUAUUCUAUCUGGAUUUUUGUCAAAUCUUGCAACAAGGUGUUAAAAAAUGUUUUUUUUGUGUGUGUGUGAAAAAUUUGUUUUGGACAUAUAAGGUAAUAAAAAUAU